UGUUCUUUUUAUUAAUAUGUUUAAACAUGUUUCAUUUUAGAGUCCAGAAUAUAUGGGAAGAAUAGUCCUGUGCAAAACUCUGCCAGGACAGAAAUGCCAUUCUUGCCACCUUUUGGCUUAGAUCAAAGCUCUCCUCAACUCAACCCAGCCCUCCUCCUAUUCCUCAUCAGUUCUGUGAAGAUGGGCCACCUCCUGAGAAAGAAGUUUUCACUGAGCAAAGGAGGAGACCUAACCAGUUUGUAGUGCAGCUCUUCACAGUGGAAUCUGCUUAUGGAUAAAGAAAAUAUUUGAGAUAAGUGGAGUUUACCUUCAUAAUACAUGGAACGAAAGUCCACUGAAAUAAACUGAAGCAAUUUGUGACUUUCA
rnacentral:lncRNA from 1 species